rnacentral:tRNA from 1 species
GCCGCCUUAGCUCAGUAGGUAGAGCGCAUCCAUGGUAAGGAUGAGGUCGCUGGUUCGAAUCCAGUAGGCGGCA